CGAACAUAUUCAGUGCUCUGUGUUCUAGACAACAACUGUCGGCUUCAACUAGUUUGCAUAUUUGUCUGAUACAUUCCUAAUUUGCAGUUCGCCGUUAGUGAUUUAGGAGGUUGCUCCAGUACGCCGAUUAUAUAGUUGCAGCUCAGAGCAGUGUACAUGACGCUGUUUGGGUCCGUUUGAACAACUUUUGUGGGAUAUAGUUUCAAAUUCUUGUACUCUCAACAGGGUUGCAAGUAGGGGCAAACAUCCAAUUUACAUCUCUGUUUGAAAAUUCAACGAAGUGAAUAUUUGUGAGUCUGGCAAGGUGAUACGAUCGCAUAAAAUUGUACAUCAUUUAUUUGAUAUUGAACAAGGCCGAAAUUGUUGUUAAGGCCAGAGCUGUUUUCGUCUCCUUGUCCUCCGUUAAACCUUUGUUUGAAUUUAUCAAUAUUUUAAAUAACUUUGAUGGGAUAGAGGCUGUCAGAUCUUCCAAACGAGAGUUUCAUUCACAAACCAGAGAUUUUAUCAAACUAGAAAUAUGUUCUGGAAAAGGGGGAAAAUACACGCCAGGUUUCUGUCAUUAAAUCCUUCUAUUCCCAUCACAAGGAGCCACGACAGUUCCGGCUGAAAACCCAUUUAAAAAUCCUACCACGACCCCUGUCUGUGUAGCGAAAAAAGGUGAAAUUGAAGAGGACAAAAAGGCCCCCUGACCAUCUAUUUUGACCACAGCUCCGUCGAUUUAAUUCUGUAGCCCCAAACAAUUCUUUCAGACGUAUAACUUUGAUAAUACACUAACAGCGCGUUUGGGGCAUGGUCAGCCCAUGAUCCUAAAUGAUCUUUCUUCUCCUAUUUGGCAAAAUAAUUAAACAGAUAACUGCAGCACAGGGUUGUUUCUCAAUUCCGACUGUGUUUAUAAUGUUGGUUAUGGUUGAAAUGAAUGAGAAGCCGAGGCAAUGUUUACGAGCAGGUAAAUGUGUUUGUAUGAUAGAUAGGCAAGGCAUGCCGAUUAAGCUUCUGGCGCGGUGAAGUGCUUCAGGAAGAAAGGGUCUAAUGGCGAAUUGAAGCGGAUCUGGAGGGCUAUCGACUACUGGGAGUUUUUUUAUUAAAGACCCAACUGCGAAGAUUAUGUUGGAAGACUGCAUUGAUAUCAUGUUGUUUAUACGAGCGGUAUGAAGGCAGGGUUUUAGCGGCCAGCCCCGCCUCGCUGUUUUGCCUGACUACGAUGCUCAUGAGAGCCGAGCAAUAUGGCCAUAAUUUAGCCACGCACCACAGCUAAACAUUUGUUUACAAUUUUUACACUUUGAUCAAAACCCAUAUGGCAAACAUCCCGCAAAUCAACCACUUAAGCCAUCGAUAUUCUUUAGAUUGUAUAGCUGUGGGUAUCCUCCAUACACUAAGACAAGGAACCGCUUUAAUUAAAAAAAAAAAUAAAAUGGGAAUAAAAAAAAUGUAUGGAUGAACGUUAGAAUCACUACAUACAUACGUGUCAAAAAAGCAGAUGAUGCACUUCUCGAUCGAAGGGGACUAAAACCUUCAACCCAUGUAAAUAAAGACAAUCAAGUGGUAGAUGUUUUGCGUCUCGGGUACGGGAAAACUACCCACUAUAAAAAUAUAUAUGCUGUGCUCUUUAUUAAGAUUUGGAAUCGGCUGUUUGGUCUGCUGAGGGAUAAACAGUCGCAGAGAACGUGAGAUCUGGAAUUCCACUGUUUGUUUAGACGAACGGAAAGAACAACCCAAUCCUAACGCUGCCGUGGGAAUACAGAAGUUUCGUCAUUAUUGAGUCUGUUGUUUCUUGAUGUAGAUUUGAUUGUCAACUCAAGAAUAAAAAGAAGAAUGCAUUGUUUUUUCUAUCGGCCUGUUUAGCGCCAUAUUCGUGGGAGGCUGUGUUAUGGGGAUGUCAACGCUAUCUACUCACACAGGGCAACUUCAAAGGAAUCAAUUUGUCGGUUGAGAUAAGUGGUACAGCUUCUACAUUUACUAGACUUAAGCCACGUGGAAUUCUCAAAAGCCUCUUAAACGCAAACAAGCCCUAUUACACGCAAAGUUCAUUAAUAGAAAUCUGUCUGCACGUGCACUUCCAACAUCGCAGUGCACGUGAAACAUUCAUGAACGGAGCACUUAAAGGCACGAAGCACUCAACGGUUAGAAGGAGUAUUAUCACCAAUCUCUUAGACCUAUAGAUACGAAGGAGUUAAAACACAAACGUUACUUAUUCAAAAGGCAUUGUCAGACUCGUUUAAAGUGUGGUAAUAAAUAACGAGAUCACUAUGGUUUUUACUAAA